rnacentral:rRNA from 1 species
AGAGUUUGAUCCUGGCUCAGAUUGAACGCUGGCGGCAGGCCUAACACAUGCAAGUCGAGCGGUAGAGAGGAGCUUGCUCCUCUUGAGAGCGGCGGACGGGUGAGUAAUGCCUAGGAAUCUGCCUGGUAGUGGGGGAUAACGUUCGGAAACGGACGCUAAUACCGCAUACGUCCUACGGGAGAAAGCAGGGGACCUUCGGGCCUUGCGCUAUCAGAUGAGCCUAGGUCGGAUUAGCUAGUUGGUGAGGUAAUGGCUCACCAAGGCGACGAUCCGUAACUGGUCUGAGAGGAUGAUCAGUCACACUGGAACUGAGACACGGUCCAGACUCCUACGGGAGGCAGCAGUGGGGAAUAUUGGACAAUGGGCGAAAGCCUGAUCCAGCCAUGCCGCGUGUGUGAAGAAGGUCUUCGGAUUGUAAAGCACUUUAAGUUGGGAGGAAGGGCAGUAAAUUAAUACUUUGCUGUUUUGACGUUACCGACAGAAUAAGCACCGGCUAACUCUGUGCCAGCAGCCGCGGUAAUACAGAGGGUGCGAGCGUUAAUCGGAAUUACUGGGCGUAAAGCGCGCGUAGGUGGUUUGUUAAGUUGGAUGUGAAAUCCCCGGGCUCAACCUGGGAACUGCAUUCAAAACUGACUGACUAGAGUAUGGUAGAGGGUGGUGGAAUUUCCUGUGUAGCGGUGAAAUGCGUAGAUAUAGGAAGGAACACCAGUGGCCAAGGCGACCACCUGGACUAAUACUGACACUGAGGUGCGAAAGCGUGGGGAGCAAACAGGAUUAGAUACCCUGGUAGUCCACGCCGUAAACGAUGUCAACUAGCCGUUGGAAGCCUUGAGCUUUUAGUGGCGCAGCUAACGCAUUAAGUUGACCGCCUGGGGAGUACGGCCGCAAGGUUAAAACUCAAAUGAAUUGACGGGGGCCCGCACAAGCGGUGGAACAUGUGGUUUAAUUCGAAGCAACGCG